GAUGAAGAACGUAGCGAAAUGCGAUAAGUAAUGUGAAUUGCAGAAUUCAGUGAAUCAUCGAAUAUUUGAACGCACAUUGCGCCCGCCAGUAUUCUGGCGGGCAUGCCUGUUCGAGCGUCAUUUCAACCAUCAAGCCCCAGGCUUGUGUUGGGGACCUGCGGCUGCCGCAGGCCCUGAAAACCAGUGGCGGGCUCGCUGUCACACCGGGCGUAGUAGAUUUUAUCUCGCUCAGGGCGUGCUGCGGGUUCCGGCCGUUAAAAAGCCUUUUUUACCCAAGGUUGACCUCGGAUCAGGUAGGAAGACCCGCUGAACUUAAGCAUAUCAAUAAGCGGAGGA
rnacentral:misc_RNA from 1 species